AUGGCCGCCAGCCCGGUGCCCCUGCACGAGAUGGCCGCCAGCCAGGCGCCACUGCACAAGAUGGCCGCCAGCCCAGCGCCACUGCACAAGAUGGCCGCCAGUCCAGCACCACUGCACAAGAUGGUCGCCAACCCAAAACCACUGCACAAGAUGGCAGCCACAGGUGAUCAUCACGAGCAAAGUCAAGUCACCGUUGAUCGUCAAGAGCAAAGUCAAGUCACCGUUGAUCAUCAAGAGCAAGGUCAAGUCACCGUUGAUCAUCAAGAGCAAGGUCAGGUCGCCACUGAUCUUCCAGAGUCAGGUCAGGUCGCUGCUGAUCUUCCAGAGUCAGGUCAGGUCGCCGCUGAUCUUCCAGAGUCAGGUCAAGUCACCGCUGAUCUUCCAGAGUCAGGUCAGGUCGCCGCUGAUCUUCACAAAUCAGGUCAAGUCACUACUGAGCUUCCAGAGCCUCGUCACGUCUCAGCUGAGCUUCCAGAGCCUGGUCACGUCUCAGCUGAACUUCCAGAGCCUCGUCACAUCUCAGCUGAUCAUCCAGAGCCUCGUCUAAUCCUGUCUGUUGCGCCAAGCAAUGUUCUCUCAGCCGGUUGUGUUGCUGUCAAGGAGACGGUUACUGCUGUGGAACCUCCAGAGGUGGCAGCAACUGCUGCAGAACCUUCGGAGGUGUCAGUAAUAUCCACCCACAAACUCACGGCCUGUCCUGUCACGGCCACGGAGGCCAUCCACGGCUGGUGUCGUCCAUCCUACGCCUCAGUACUCCACUCCUCUGGUUUCGCCUCGUCCCUCCGGCUCCGUCAGGCUCCUUCAUCCCCUCAGUUCCACCUCAGUCCUCUGUCGCUCUGGCUCCACCAUGGCCUUCCAGAUCCACAUCUCCGCGUCAGUCGCCAGAGUCAUCUGUUCCACCUAGGACCUCAGGAUCCUCCCUGUCACCCUGGCUCUGGGGCUCUCCUCCUCCACCUGCUCCGCCGCCAUUGCCCGGUCCCCUGGAGUCGGCGGUUAUUCCUCCUCCAUGGCUCCUCCCACCAUCUGCUCCACCUUGGGCCAUUAAGGCUGUGGUCUGGGUCCAGCUAG
ensembl:lncRNA